AAUUUUUGCUUCGGUUGUCUGAGAGAGUUUGUGUGAAGUUAGAAUUCUGAGGUAGUUAAGUGUUAGUGGGUUAGUUAGUAGGAUAAUGGGGGUUGAGAUUUAGUAUGAUAUGAAUUUAUUUUUUAACUUUAAUUUUCUUUUUUUGUUUUUCACUUUGUUCUCUCUUCCCAACAAAAUUCUAACGUUAGUUUUCCUUUUCUCUGCAUAUUUCAGGUCAAUUGACAAAUUCUUAUUUCCUCGCUCUCUAUUUUCUGUCACAAUUUUUUUAUUCAAUUUCAGUAUUCUGGUUC
rnacentral:lncRNA from 1 species